UACAUGGGGUGCAAACGUUGCUCGGAAUUAUUGGGCGUAAAGCGCACGUAGGCGGUUCGUUAAGUCAGAUGUGAAAUCCCUCGGCUCAACCGAGGAACGUCGAUCGAUACUGCUGUUCUUGAGGAUUGCAGAGGAGACUGGAAUUCCCGGUGUAGCGGUGAAAUGUGUAGAGAUCGGGAGGAACACCGGUGGCGAAGGCGGGUCUCUGGGCAAUUCCUGACGCUGAGGCGCGAAAGCGUGGGGAGCAAACGGG
rnacentral:rRNA from 1 species